UACAGAGGUCUCAAGCGUUGUUCGGAUUCAUUGGGCGUAAAGGGUGCGUAGGCGGCGCGGUAAGUCCUGCGUGAAAUCCUGCGGCUCAACCGCAGACGGUCGUGGGAAACUGGAAGGCUAGAGUGCGGGAGAGGAGAGUGGAAUUCCCGGUGUAGCGGUGAAAUGCGCAGAUAUCGGGAAGAACACCCGUGGCGAAGGCGAUCGCCUGGCUCAAUACUGACGCUGAGGCGCGAGAGCGUGGGGAGCAAACAGG
rnacentral:rRNA from 1 species